ACUCCUACGGGAGGCAGCAGUGGGGAAUUUUGCGCAAUGGGCGAAAGCCUGACGCAGCAACGCCGCGUGAGUGAUGAAGGCUUUCGGGUCGUAAAGCUCUGUCAGGGGGAAAGAAGUGUAUUGCGGCUAAUAUCCGCGGUACUUGACGGUACCCCCAAAGGAAGCACCGGCUAACUCCGUGCCAGCAGCCGCGGUAAUACGGAGGGUGCAAGCGUUGUUCGGAAUUAUUGGGCGUAAAGCGCGUGUAGGCGGUUUGCUAAGUCUGAUGUGAAAGCCCCGGGCUCAACCCGGGAAGUGCAUUGGAAACUGGCAGACUUGAAUACGGGAGAGGGUAGUGGAAUUCCUAGUGUAGGAGUGAAAUCCGUAGAUAUUAGGAGGAACACCGGUGGCGAAGGCGGCUGCCUGGACCGAUAUUGACGCUGAGACGCGAAAGCGUGGGUAGCAAACAGGAUUAGAUACCCUGGUAGUCCACGCCGUAAACGAUGAGAACUAGGUGUCGCGGGUA
rnacentral:rRNA from 1 species